AUUGAACGCUGGCGGAAUGCUUUACACAUGCAAGUCGAGCGGCAGCGCGGCCUUCGGGCUGGCGGCGAGCGGCGAACGGGUGAGUAAUGCAUCGGAACAUGCCCAGUCGUGGGGGAUAACACUUCGAAAGAAGUGCUAAUACCGCAUACGUCCUGAGGGGGAAAGCGGGGGAUCGCAAGACCUCGCGCGAUUGGAGUGGCCGAUGUCAGAUUAGCUAGUUGGUGGGGUAAAGGCCUACCAAGGCGACGAUCUGUAGCUGGUCUGAGAGGAUGAUCAGCCGCACUGGGACUGAGACACGGCCCAGACUCCUACGGGAGGCAGCAGUGGGGAAUUUUGGACAAUGGGGGCAACCCUGAUCCAGCCAUUCCGCGUGAGUGAAGAAGGCCUUCGGGUUGUAAAGCUCUUUCGGCAGGAACGAAACGGUGGGCUCUAACAUAGUCCGCUAAUGACGGUACCUGAAGAAGAAGCACCGGCUAACUACGUG
rnacentral:rRNA from 1 species